UUACUUACCUUAGACGGAGUCUAUGGGUGAUCAUAAAGGCUCAUGGCACUGUAGAGAGGUAUGACCCUAAAGUCUCUUCAAGUAAGGGACCAUAUGUCAUAAUUGCUUACAUUUUUAAUUUCUUUUAACAAAAUUAGUU
rnacentral:snRNA from 11 species